UGGGAUCCAUGUUUCCCUCCAGCCAAUCACAAUCUCACUCCCAGCUGUCAGUCAACUGACUCCUCACUGAUAGCUACCUCUCGCCCCUCAGCCACUUCCAGCUGUCCAGCCUGCAGCUGUGCCUCCCCACAGGGCCUUCUGAUCCCACUUCUUGACAGAAUCAAAUACAGGCAUUUUCAAAGCCCUUCAUAAGUGAAUUAAGGAUCCAGUUUCUGGACACAGACAGGACCCUUGAAGACCUUCAGUGAUGGGCAGAAAGAACUGCAGGUGUCCACUUCUUAUGAACAAAACAGAAGAAACAGCUGAUGUUUAUAGAGAAAUUACGUAUCUUGUGAUUUCAAAAGAACAUCCUCAUCUGGUCUUUAUGGAGAAGAAGUUUGGCUGUUUCUUGGACAUCUUCCAUUUGAGUCUCGGUGAAACCAGGUGACACCUGGUGUGCCUCUGCUCCUGCACGCUGGGCUCUCUGUCUGCUCAGUAAGUUUUACCAGUGUGCUAGAAACUCAGAAAUGGUAAUUUAUGCUUACUGGAACAAGCAUUGCCUGCAACAAGGACACCUGCUCCUCUGUAAAAGACUUUCCACUUUGCAAGGUGAUCAGCCCUGCCUGUUCUUCCUUCCUGCACUAUAAUACCUGAUUUGAAGUUGCCCCAGAAAUCCUGGUUUAAAAGCUUGCGCUGUACUUGAGGAUGGACCAGUCUGAGCCCUUCAACAUAUCACUGUAUGUCCAGCCAAAGAGAAAUGAGUAAGGUCUGUGCUCCAGGUGUGCAAUAAUUCUACUCAUCAGAGACUGAAAUCCAAAGUCAAGGCGUGGACUUGCAUACAUUACAUAGUGAAACACCAAUCUUAACACUCAUGUAACAAAGUGCAGCAAGUGUUUAAUGGACAUAAACAGGCAGCAGUGAAAAUGUGGAUACAAAGUAUCAGAGGAAGUAAAAUAGGAUAAUGUCAGGGAACAAGUUCUAAGAAAGCAGGACUAGAAUAACACUAGGUUAUUUUUUAAAUUGCUAUUUACUAGAUAGGCUGUAUGUCUAUUUAAAAUUAACAGCAGCAUUAGUAAAAAAAUCUACUUAAAUCUGCCAAAGUCAACAAAAGAGAGGAUUGGUCACUGAAAUAUCUUCCUGAUCAAAAUUAAUGUCUGAAUAAGAAGGUAGAUUUGGGAUUUAAAAGGACAGUCCAUACCAAAACAGGGAAAUCCAAAUGCCAUGUUAAAUGCUUGUUGAAUAGAAUUUUUUCCUCCCUGUUCCUACUCUUGAAAAAAAUUGGUAAGUGGGGUAAAAAGAAAAUGGUUUUCCUCCCUUGGAUACCUUUGCUGCUGGCUGAAGACAGCACAGCACUCCUCAGAUGGCAAAAGAAGGAGGAAUUCCUUUCGCAACAUCUGCCUACGUGAGGGUCCUGGAAUUUGCAUCUUCCCUGAGCCUGCUUUAGCUCACCUCCCUGCCUUCUUGACAUUCCCCUCUUGUCCAGCAGAUAAGAGCACAUUUUCAGAACCAGUUUUGCAAUUACCCAUCUUCUUAGUUUUCUUUCCUGACCUUUAAAGGGGAUGCACCAAAUAAAUGCCUUUGUACAAGUGCCAGACUUUCUGCAGGGUGGCUGUUUCAAAGGAGUAAAUAUGAUCUUUUCAUAAAUACCAUGUCAGGCCCAUGUAACUCACAACUUAUUUAUUACAGCCCUAAUGCACACCGUGGAAGCCGGGGCUAGUGUUGCACAAGAACAUAUAUCUAAAACAUUUCAGGACUGCAGAGCAAGGUGGACAGCUAGAUUUUUGUGCAAGCUGCUUGGCCAUUGUUGAGUCUAGCUUUUACUUGAGUUUCAUGAAGUAUUUAAAGCUAUUCAGAGUUUAGAAGAAAAUGAUAGAAAUAUUGCAGCCUGUGAAUUGUUUGUUAGGCAUAUGGUCUUGGCAUUCAAAAUCCAAACUAGCUGCCCAGGUAGAAGGACAGAAAAGUCUUCUGUGACAUUGAGAGUAUCAGUUUGUCCCCAUUGACUUCCAGCUUCCUUCAAAGCCUUCUGGGGUUUAUACACCAACCCAGGACUCAUUUGAGCUGGACAGAAAGCUGUUUUAAUGAAAAGAUUUCCCACACUUUGCUGUUGUCACGAUAUCCUCGGGAGGGGAAAAAGGUCCUUGUGUUUGGUGUGCACUGGCUUCACACUUGUGUCCCCAAACAUAGGCAGUGGGAAGCCAAGAGAAAUCCCUUGCUUUACUGAGAAGCUCAGCAUGGACCUGGGGUGCCUUUACCCAGAUGGCAGUCAAAAAAUAGUAUUGGUUGGGAAGUAUGGCUGGGUCACAAGUGUCACUGCUUCUGUUAACCCCUUCAUUUCCCAAAUACAGCAGUGUAUGGGAGGAUUUCACCCAGUAUGGAGGAGUUAUGAGUUCAGAGAAUCACACCCUGCAGCUGGCUUUCUUGCCAUACACGUGUAACAUAAAUAGCUAAAUCCUUCACUCCUCUGUCUUCCCCUGGUGCACACACGCCUGGUGGAUUGUGAACCUUGAGGUGGUGGUGGAUCCCUGUGCUUCAAUGCAGUUGUGGUCAAUGUGGUUGUGUUCAAUGCCUUUGCUCACAUUUUCUGCCAUGGAAACUGUGUGUGUAGCUCUAACAGAUUAGGGACAAGUAUUUCAUACUUAGCAAAAGCAGAGAAACCAUCUCAGGAGUUUUUUUUUGUCCCAUGGAGUAUGCCUUGGCAUUUUUACAGGGCUAGGUGCUUCUUGAAAAUGUGGCUCUAAUACCUUUGGUGGAAGCAAUUUUGUCCUUAAAAUGAAAAAAAAUUUCAAGGCCCUUUCUGUCUGCUGUCAUCCUGCACAAUAGCAUUUGGUACAUCCUGAAACAGAGGCUGGCAUACCAAUAGUAAAUGCAUGAGAUAAAAAUAGUUAAUGGGCAAACUGCACUUGCUUCACUCUGUGCUUUAUGGAUAGUCAUAAACACAUCUUAACUGAAAAUGAUCUGAUGUAGUAUACAUUGUUGCUGAGGUGGAAACACUUGUGUACUCUUCAUCUCACACAGCCUGUUUUUGUUUAUCAGGACACAAGUAGCUAUCAGCACUGGAUGCUUAGCUUUCACCUCUAAAUCUGGCUUUCAGAUCUAGUGGCCUGACUUCUUCCAUUUUUGGGGGGUUUGAAUUAAACAUCAAUUCUUUUUGGUGAUGAAAGUGUUUUUAAAGCAGCAACCCACCAAGAGGUUUUGAAAGUCAGGUUGCUUGAGAGCAAGUAAAAUGAAAUUGUGAAUAACUUUGCUUUUUUAUGUAAUUUUCAGAUGGGAAGAAUAAAUCAGAACCACAAAAGGGAUGUUAGCAGAGCCGAAGUUAUUUAGAGUUUAGGUUUCAUAAAGGCUUUGGUAAGAUAAAGUCUUUUGUGGCUCUAUACCAACCUUCUUAAAAAAUAAUCCAGAAAGUUGUACUAUAUGCAGAGCUUGGGGCUAACUUCAUUAGUAGUCACCGUAUCUUAUUCAAAUUACACGUACAGUUGGGUGUUUAAAUUACAGGAAGACUUUGUGUUUAAGAGUUUCCGCACCAUGCCGAGGCUUGGGAAAAAAAGUCAGAUUUGACACAUAAUAGGGAUUGAUGUGCUACCUCAAAUGCUGGUGUUACUGGAAAGGAAGGAACUUCCACAGGAAGAGCAAAGGAAAUUAUACAGGAAUCAAUAUAGGAUGCUAAAAAUAGUGCUUGACUUAUCUUCCAUGUGAGUCAAAAUACCCUGCUCAAGAGAUACACAUGCUAUGUCUUGGCUGGUAUAUCCAAACUGCUCUUACUGGUGUACAGGCUGUCAGGAUUUCCUCCAAAGUCAAUGGAGAGAGGCAAGUGUCUCUGGAGGACAGUUCAUCCCACCUACCUAAGGAUUUGCCAGCAAAAAAGAGAGUGCUGUAGAACCUGCCAUUUUCCUAAUUGCCAUCAGCUUCACAUGUUUGAAGUCAAGAAUGUGCUUAAUUAAUUAAUUUCCUGGAGGGUGUUCAGGGAGCUGAGCACCUGGCAGGACUGAACAACUAGCUUGGAGGAAAACUAAGAAAUUUGCAAAUGUUCUGGAUGAACCUGAUGAACAAAACUGGGAAACAAGGAGAGCUUGCCUGCAAGGAUGACUAAGUCGCAAGCUUGGAAGCAUAACAGGUCCCAGGAGAGAGAAUAUGAUUAGUUGGGUAAUUUACAGGUAAUAUGCUUUCAUCGUUUUCUACUUAGCAUUAAUUUUCUAAAGCACCAGGCAGGAGUUUGCUCAGA